rnacentral:rRNA from 1 species
AGAUUGACGCUGGCGGCAUGCCUUACACAUGCAAGUCGAACGGCAGCACGGGGGCAACCCUGGUGGCGAGUGGCGAACGGGUGAGUAAUACAUCGGAACGUGUCCUGUAGUGGGGGAUAGCCCGGCGAAAGCCGGAUUAAUACCGCAUACGCUCUACGGAGGAAAGGGGGGGAUCUUAGGACCUCCCGCUACAGGGGCGGCCGAUGGCAGAUUAGCUAGUUGGUGGGGUAAAGGCCUACCAAGGCGACGAUCUGUAGCUGGUCUGAGAGGACGACCAGCCACACUGGGACUGAGACACGGCCCAGACUCCUACGGGAGGCAGCAGUGGGGAAUUUUGGACAAUGGGGGAAACCCUGAUCCAGCAAUGCCGCGUGUGUGAAGAAGGCCUUCGGGUUGUAAAGCACUUUUGUCCGGAAAGAAAACCUCUGGGUUAAUACCCCGGGGGGAUGACGGUACCGGAAGAAUAAGCACCGGCUAACUACGUGCCAGCAGCCGCGGUAAUACGUAGGGUGCAAGCGUUAAUCGGAAUUACUGGGCGUAAAGCGUGCGCAGGCGGUCCGCUAAGACAGAUGUGAAAUCCCCGGGCUUAACCUGGGAACUGCAUUUGUGACUGGCGGGCUAGAGUAUGGCAGAGGGGGGUAGAAUUCCACGUGUAGCAGUGAAAUGCGUAGAGAUGUGGAGGAAUACCGAUGGCGAAGGCAGCCCCCUGGGCCAAUACUGACGCUCAUGCACGAAAGCGUGGGGAGCAAACAGGAUUAGAUACCCUGGUAGUCCACGCCCUAAACGAUGUCAACUAGUUGUCGGGUCUUCAUUGACUUGGUAACGUAGCUAACGCGUGAAGUGACCGUCCU